rnacentral:rRNA from 1 species
GCAGGGGUAGCAAUACUCGCUGGCGACCGGCGCACGGGUGCGUAACACGUAUGUAACCUUUCCUUAACUGGAGAAUAGCUCCGAGAAAUCGGGAUUAAUACUCCAUAACACUGCGAAGUGGCAUCACUUUGCAAUUAAAGCUCCGGCGGUUAAGGGCGGGCAUGCGUCCCAUUAGCUAGUUGGCGAGGUAACGGCUCACCAAGGCUACGAUGGGUAGGGGUUCUAAGAGGAUUUACCCCCACACUGGCACUGAGAUACGGGCCAGACUCCUACGGGAGGCAGCAGUAAGGAAUAUUGGUCAAUGGGCGCAAGCCUGAACCAGCCAUGCCGCGUGUAGGAUGAAGGUCCUACGGA